rnacentral:rRNA from 1 species
CUAGCGACUUCAGAGUUUGAGUCCUGGCUCAGGACGAACGCUGGCGGCGUGCUUAACACAUGCAAGUCGAACGGGGAUUAUUGAGCGGAAGGCUUCGGCCGGAAGGUUGGUAAUUCGAGUGGCGGACGGGUGAGUAACGCGUGAGCAACCUGUCCCAGACAGGGGGAUAACACUUGGAAACAGGUGCUAAUACCGCAUAAGACCACGGGGUCACAUGGCCCAGGGGUAAAAGGAGCAAUCCGGUUCGGGGUGGGCUCGCGUCCGAUUAGCCAGUUGGUGAGGUAACGGCCCACCAAAGCGACGAUCGGUAGCCGACCUGAGAGGGUGAUCGGCCACAUUGGAACUGAGAGACGGUCCAA